rnacentral:rRNA from 1 species
UAGGGAAUAUUGCUCAAUGGGGGAAACCCUGAAGCAGCAACGCCGCGUGGAGGAUGAAGGUUUUCGGAUUGUAAACUCCUUUUGUUAGAGAAGAUAAUGACGGUAUCUAACGAAUAAGCACCGGCUAACUCCGUGCCAGCAGCCGCGGUAAUACGGAGGGUGCAAGCGUUACUCGGAAUCACUGGGCGUAAAGAGCGCGUAGGCGGGGUAGCAAGUCAGAUGUGAAAUCCUAUGGCUUAACCAUAGAACUGCAUUUGAAACUGUUACUCUAGAGUGUGGGAGAGGUAGGUGGAAUUCUUGGUGUAGGGGUAAAAUCCGUAGAGAUCAAGAGGAAUACUCAUUGCGAAGGCGACCUACUAGAACAUAACUGACGCUGAUGCGCGAAAGCGUGGGGAGCAAACAGG